UCAUUUAUUAAUGAAUUCGCUUGGAUUUAUAUACAAUAUAUAUAAACGUAUUCAUCCUAUCUGUUUUAUAGUACAAUUGCGAGUCCGUGGAAGAUAGAAAUCACUAGCCAAGAUGAAACUAACAAACUUUCUCGUGAUCUUGAUGGUUGUAAUACUGGCAGUUUGUGCACAUGCUGCUCCAAAGAGUCGUGGGCUCCCUCAGUUCCCUGGCUAUGGAACAUUCAAUCCCAAAGGCAAACUGCCUGUGCCAUUUCCAAAACACUUCGUUACAGACUGAUUUAAAACAAAUAUCAUAACGCAACAAGACACCGCGUUAAAUAACACUGACUUUUAUUCUCCAUUUGUAUGUAACAUCACGGUAAAUAGAAUAGAAAGCAUAAAAUAUUAUAAAUAUUUCAAA